AUGACCUGGGGCCUUCACCUCAUCUCCCUCCUUCUUAACUGCACAGGAUCCUGGGCCCAGUCUGUGCUGACUCAGCUGCCCUCAGCGUCUGGGAACCUGGGCCAGCAGGUCACCAUCUCCUGCACUGGGAGCAGCACCAACCUUGGCAGUUACUAUGCAAACUGGUACCAACAGCUUUCAGGCCAACCCCCUAAACUCCUUGUCUACGGUAAUAACAAGCGACCCUCAGGGAUCCCAGACAGAUUCUCAGGUUCUUAUCCUGGCAAUUCAGCCUCCUUGACUGGACUGCAGACAGAGGAUGAGGCUCUUUAUUACUGUGGAUGCAGGGAUGAUAGCUCAGGGUUCAUACAGUGCUCCAGGCCUGCAAGGAAGUGA